rnacentral:rRNA from 1 species
UACGGAGGAUCCAAGCGUUAUCCGGAAUCAUUGGGUUUAAAGGGUCCGUAGGUGGACGAUUAAGUCAGGGGUGAAAUCUUGCAGCUCAACUGUAAAAUUGCCCUUGAUACUGGUUGUCUUGAAUCAUUGUGAAGUGGUUAGAAUAUGUAGUGUAGCGGUGAAAUGCAUAGAUAUUACAUAGAAUACCGAUUGCGAAGGCAGAUCACUAACGGUGCAUUGACACUGAUGGACGAAAGCGUGGGGAGCGAACAGGAUUAGAUACCCUGGUAGUCCACGCCGUAAACGAUGGAUACUAGCUGUCCGGCGCAAGCUGGGUGGCUAAGCGAAAGUGAUAAGUAUCCCACCUGGGGAGUACGUUCGCAAGAAUGAA